CAUAUCAAUAAGCGGAGGAAAAGAAACCAACAGGGAUUGCCUUAGUAACGGCGAGUGAAGCGGCAACAGCUCAAAUUUGAAAGCUGGCCCUUUUAGGGUCCGCAUUGUAAUUUGUAGAGGAUGAUUCGGCGAGGGCUCCUGCCUAAGUCCCCUGGAACGGGGCGUCAUAGAGGGUGAGAAUCCCGUAUGCGGUAGGUUGCCUUAGCCAUGUGAAUCUCCUUCGACGAGUCGAGUUGUUUGGGAAUGCAGCUCUAAAUGGGAGGUAAAUUUCUUCUAAAGCUAAAUACCGGCCAGAGACCGAUAGCGCACAAGUAGAGUGAUCGAAAGAUGAAAAGCACUUUGGAAAGAGAGUUAAAAAGUACGUGAAAUUGUUGAAAGGGAAGCGCUUGCAACCAGACUUGUCCGCAGUUGCUCAGCCGGUCUCCUGACCGGCGUACUCUUCUGCGGCCAGGCCAGCAUCAGUUCGGGCGGUCGGAUAAAGGCCUCGGGAAUGUGGCUCCUCUCGGGGAGUGUUAUAGCCCGGGGUGCAAUGCGGCCAGCCUGGACUGAGGAACUCGCUUCGGCAAGGAUGCUGGCGUAAUGGUUGUAAGCGGCCCGUCUUGAAACACGGACCAAGGAGUCUAACAUCUAUGCGAGUGUUCGGGUGUCAAACCCGUACGCGUAAUGAAAGUGAACGGAGGUGGGAACCCGCAAGGGUGCACCAUCGGCCGAUCCUGAUGUCUUCGGAUGGAUUUGAGCAAGAGCAUAGCUGUUGGGACCCGAAAGAUGGUGAACUAUGCCUGAAUAGGGUGAAGCCAGAGGAAACUCUGGUGGAGGCUCGCAGCGGUUCUGACGUGCAAAUCGAUCGUCAAAUUUGGGUAUAGGGGCGAAAGACUAAUCGA
rnacentral:rRNA from 1 species